rnacentral:rRNA from 1 species
UACGAAGGGGGCUAGCGUUGCUCGGAAUCACUGGGCGUAAAGCGCACGUAGGCGGACAUUUAAGUCGGUGGUGAAAUCCUGGAGCUCAACUCCAGAACUGCCUUCGAUACUGGAUGUCUUGGAUUCCGGGAGAGGUGAGUGGAACUGCGGGUGUAGAGGUGAAAUUCGUAGAUAUUCGCAAGAACACCAGUGGCGAAGGCGGCUCACUGGCCCGGUACUGACGCUGAGGUGCGAAAGCGUGGGGAGCGAACAGG